UACGAAGGGGGCUAGCGUUGUUCGGAAUUACUGGGCGUAAAGGGCGCGCAGGCGGUCUUCCAAGUCAGAUGUGAAAGCCCCGGGCUCAACCUGGGAACUGCAUUUGACGACUGGAGGACUAGAGUUCGGGAGGAGGAGAGCGGAAUUCCCAGUGUAGAGGUGAAAUUCGUAGAUAUUGGGAAGAACACCGGUGGCGAAGGCGGCUCUCUGGGACGGUACUGACGCGUGAGACGCGAAAGCGUGGGGAGCGAACAGG
rnacentral:rRNA from 1 species